UGGCGGCGUGCUUAACACAUGCAAGUCGAACGAUGAAGCCCAGCUUGCUGGGUGGAUUAGUGGCGAACGGGUGAGUAACACGUGAGCAACCUGCCCCUGACUCUGGGAUAAGCGCUGGAAACGGCGUCUAAUACUGGAUAUGUCCCGUCACCGCAACCAAGGCGUCGACGGGUAGCCGGCCUGAGAGGGUGACCGGCCACACUGGGACUGAGACACGGCCCAGACUCCUACGGGAGGCAGCAGUGGGGAAUAUUGCACAAUGGGCGGAAGCCUGAUGCAGCAACGCCGCGUGAGGGAUGACGGCCUUCGGGUUGUAAACCUCUUUUAGCAGGGAAGAAGCGAAAGUGACGGUACCUGCAGAAAAAGCACCGGCUAACUACGUGCCAGCAGCCGCGGUAAUACGUAGGGUGCAAGCGUUAUCCGGAAUUAUUGGGCGUAAAGAGCUCGUAGGCGGUCUGUCGCGUCUGCUGUGAAAUUCCGAGGCUCAACCUCGGGCUUGCAGUGGGUACGGGCAGACUAGAGUGCGGUAGGGGAGAUUGGAAUUCCUGGUGUAGCGGUGGAAUGCGCAGAUAUCAGGAGGAACACCGAUGGCGAAGGCAGAUCUCUGGGCCGUAACUGACGCUGAGGAGCGAAAGGGUGGGGAGCAAACAGGCUUAGAUACCCUGGUAGUCCACCCCGUAAACGUUGGGAACUAGUUGUGGGGUCCUUUCCACGGAUUCCGUGACGCAGCUAACGCAUUAAGUUCCCCGCCUGGGGAGUACGGCCGCAAGGCUAAAACUCAAAGGAAUUGACGGGGACCCGCACAAGCGGCGGAGCAUGCGGAUUAAUUCGAUGCAACGCGAAGAACCUUACCAAGGCUUGACAUACACGAGAACGGGCCAGAAAUGGUCAACUCUUUGGACACUCGUGAACAGGUGGUGCAUGGUUGUCGUCAGCUCGUGUCGUGAGAUGUUGGGUUAAGUCCCGCAACGAGCGCAACCCUCGUUCUAUGUUGCCACGUAAUGGUGGGAACUCAUGGGAUACUGCCGGGGUCAACUCGGAGGAAGGUGGGGAUGACGUCAAAUCAUCAUGCCCCUUAUGUCUUGGGCUUCACGCAUGCUACAAUGGCCGGUACAAUGGGCUGCAAUACCGUAAGGUGGAGCGAAUCCCAAAAAGCCGGUCCCAGUUCGGAUUGAGGUCUGCAACUCGACCUCAUGAAGUCGGAGUCGCUAGUAAUCGCAGAUCAGCAACGCUGCGGUGAAUACGUUCCCGGGUCUUGUACACACCGCCCGUCAAGUCAUGAAAGUCGGUAACACCUGAAGCCGGUGGCCUAACCCCUUGUGGGAGGGAGCUGUCGAAGGUGGGAUCGGUAAUUAGGACUAAGUCGUAACAAGGUAGCCGUACCG
rnacentral:rRNA from 1 species